rnacentral:tRNA from 1 species
UGUUCUGUGGCUUAGUUGGGUAAAGCGAAGGACUAUUGAUACGGAGUCGUGGGUUCAAUCCCACCAAAACAA